rnacentral:rRNA from 1 species
UACAGAGGUCCCAAGCGUUGUUCGGAUUCACUGGGCGUAAAGGGUGCGUAGGCGGUCGGGUAAGUCUGAUGUGAAAUCUCACAGCUUAACUGUGAAACUGCAUUGGAUACUAUCCGGCUCGAGGAAUGGAGGGGAGACUGGAUUACUUGGUGUAGCAGUGAAAUGCGUAGAUAUCAAGUGGAACACCAGUGGCGAAGGCGAGUCUCUGGACAUUUUCCUGACGCUGAGGCACGAAAGCCAGGGGGAGCAAACGGG